CGCGUAGGCGGCUUGGUAAGGUUGCGGUGAAAGCCCGGGGCUCAACCCCGGGUCGGCCGUGGCAACUGCUGAGCUGGAGCACUGUAGAGGCAGGUGGAAUUCCGGGUGUAGCGGUGGAAUGCGUAGAGAUCCGGAAGAACACCGGUGGCGAAGGCGGCCUGCUGGGCAGUAGCUGACGCUGAGGCGCGACAGCGUGGGGAGCAAACA
rnacentral:rRNA from 1 species